UGGAUGAGGUCAGAAUGACCGCUUUUGGCCUAGCGGUUUGUAGGCGGUGCGUCCUUCCUGCGCUGGGAUCCGACCAUGCAAGAAGGACAUUCACAUUUAACCUGUAUACAAGUUAUAGCUAUUUGUGCCUUUUAUAUAUAUAUAUAUAUAUAAAAUUGGAAGCAAUAUAAUGACAGUUCUGUAACUGCCCAGGGAGUUCACCUUGCCCGCUACCUAGACAGAGCCGAUUUCUCAAGACAGGGGAAUAGCAAUAGAGAAAGAGUAAUUCACGCAGUGUCCUCUGUGCGGGAGACCGGAGUUUUUUUAUUUUAUUUUAUUUUUUUGAAACAGAAUCUUGCUCUGUCUCCCAGGCUGGAGUGCAGGCUUGGAGUUUUAUGAUUAUUCAAAUCAGUCUCCCUGAGCAUUUGGGGUAAGAGUAUUUAGAACGUUUAUUUUGCCAAGGUUGGGGAUGCAUAUGCAUGACACAGCCUCAGGAUGUCCUUGAUGACAUGUGCCCAAGGUGGUCAGAGCACAGCUUGGUUUUGUUGGAGAGAAAUGCUCGGUGCCGCAAAGUGAAACCAGCACUCAAGCGAAAGUUUUCUCAGCAACGCAAUUUACUUCUGCAGAAGCGUGCUGCUCGCAUCAAUCACGAUCGCAAGAGCACACUGAACAGAGGAAAGCAGGGGUUUUUAUUCCUAACGCAGUCCCUACCUCUGGCAUGGGCUGGGGUCAGACCGCACGAUCUAAACUGACCCGGUUGGCUAUUUGUGAAUAUUUUCCCAAAUAAGGAAGGGGGAAGGGGGAUGUGAGUUACAAUGGUGGGACUUGCGGUUUCCAAGGGAGAAAUGGGUGCAGAGCAGGUAACCAAGGGAACAGAUGUGAGUUAUUGAUUAGAACUGACGGAAGGUUGUUUACAGUAACUAAGGGCAAGGAGGCAUGGAGAACAAGAAAGUUGAGUUCGAAAACAAAAAAACAAGAAAGUUAACAUGCCAAACCUUGGAAGAGAAACUGACUGUAUCUGACAGCUUUAUACAUUUUAGGGAAACAGGAGACAUCAAUCAACAUAUGUAAGAUGAACACUGGUUUGAUCCGGGACAACCUGAAGCAAAAGCGGGUCAACUCGAAGCCAGGAGGGGGCUUCCAGGUCACAGAAAUGGGGUCUCCCUCAGUUGCCCAGGCUGGUCUCUGGUGCCCAACGCCGGGCUCCCGGUAAUCUCUACAAAUAAUCCAGUGAAGGAAUGCCAGAGAGUGGAAAGUGGAGGAUGACUGACAAAGGACGCCCGAGUACGUUUUCACUUCAAGCUCUACAGGAGAGAAUCAGCUUCCUGUCUGGGUACCCACAAGACAUCUUAAGCUGUGCCAUGAGACAGAGUCCAAGAAGAGGAAAAGACCUCAGAAUGUCUCUGCGCCCCCAGUUCGUCAGACGGCUCAGAUGAACAUCUCUGUUGAGCAGAUGGAAACCAGUAAAACUCCCCAAGCAACUCCACCGACCUGGGGGCAGAUGAAGAGACUGGCUCACAUUGCAGAAGAGAACCUGAGGUCUCAGAACAAGCCGCUGACCACCAGUAAUCUAAUGGUAGCUAUGAUGGCGGUAAUCUCCUUGGUGGUGAGUCUUCCUGUAGCAGAGGCAGAUCAAAAUUACACCUAUUUUUGUAAUAGGAGGAAGGAGGAGGAGGAGGAAUGUUAAUGAAUGUUUCUAUUGGUUAUCGCUUUCCUGCCAUCUGCCUGGGGCCAGCAGCAGGAUUUUUAAAUUAUGAUACACAAAGUUGGAUGGUUUAUGUUCCUGCACAUAACGGAUCAAAAGCCUUUAUUCAUGCAAUCAGUGGAAGAACAUUUCAAUCUUUGGACACUAUUAAAUACCUUGAGCAUGGCUAUGUUGUGACACAUCGCCAGAUUAAUAAAUUUAAACCUAAUAAGAACCUCCUGUUAUUAAACGGUCAGAAAAGCUAGAGGUGCUAACCUGGGAAGAUUAUAUUGCAAACAGUGCUGCUGUACUACAAAAUAAUUCCUAUGGAAUCAUCAUUGAUUGGGCCCCUAGGGGACAAUUUGCAGUAAAUUGUACUGGACAGAGUGAAGAUUGUAGAGAGACUAUUUUGCAAACGACUACCCAGAUAAUGCACCAAAAUUACAUAGAAGAAUUGAAACAAAUUACCCUAUUAAGUGGGAGGAGAACGGUAUGGCUCCUCCAAGCCCAAAAAUUAUUGAUCCAAUUAUAAGCCCAGAACAUCCAGAAUUGUGGAAAUUAAUGAUGGCUCAAAGCCCAAUUCGGAUUUGGAAAGCAGAAUGUAAAACAGAGACCCAUAGUAAAAAACUUCGAUUUGUUGUAGCCAUGACCUCUAAUCAGAUGGUCCCAUUGCAGAGUUGUGUUAAACCUCCUUUUAUGUUGGCAGUGGGAAAAAUUAAUAUCUUACCUGACUCUCAAACCAUAUCAUGCCUCAACUGUCGUCUUUUUACCUGCAUUAUUUCUGCCUUUAAUAAAGAUAAUAGCAUUUUACUGGUU